CCGUUGCCGGCGACCGGCGCACGGGUGAGUAACACGUAUGCAACCUGCCCGUGGCAGGGGGAUAAGCCGGGGGAAACCCGUCUAAUACCGCGUAACGCGGCCUUGGGGCAUCCCAAGGCCGCCAAAGGGAGCAAUCCCGGCCACGGAUGGGCAUGCGGCGCAUUAGCUAGUCGGCGGGGUAACGGCCCACCGAGGCGACGAUGCGUAGGGGUUCUGAGAGGAAGGACCCCCCACACUGGUACUGAGACACGGACCAGACUCCUACGGGAGGCAGCAG
rnacentral:rRNA from 1 species